GAGCGUGCAUGCUGGGACCCGAAAGGUGGUGAACUAUGCUUGUGCAGGGUGAAGUCAGGUGAAAACCUGAUGGAAGCUCGAAGCGAUACUGACGUGCAAAUCGUUCGUUAGACAUGAGUAUAGGGGCGAAAGACUAAUCGAACCACCUAGUUGCUGGUUUCCUCCGAAGUUUCCCCCAGGAUAGCUGGAACCUAUUGCGAGUUUUGUCAGGUAAAGCGAAUGAUUAGAGGCUUCUGGGCAGAAACUGUCUAGUCCUAUUCUCAAACUUUAAAUGGGCAAGAUGCGGUGGUCGCUUAAUUGGACUGCUGCGUUGAAUCGGGGUUCUUAGUGGGCCAUUUUUGGUAAGCAGAACUGGCGAUGUGGGAUGCUCCAGACGCUUGGUUAAGGGGCCUAAGUGCUCGCUCAUUCAGAUACCAUAAAGGGUGUUGAUUGAUGAAGACAGCAGGACGGUGGUCAUGGAAGUCGAAAUCCGCUAAGGAGUGUGUAACAACUCACCUGCCGAAUCAAUUAGCCCCGAAAAUGGAUGGCGCUCAAGCGAGCCCCCGAAACCGGGCCAUCAGGGCAGAUGCGACGCCCUGAUGAGUAGGAGGACGCGCCGGUCGCAGCGAAGGCGCGGGCGCGAGCCCCGCUUUGAGCGGCCGGUGGUGCAGAUCUUGGUGUUAGUAGCAAAUAUUCAAAUGAAAACUUUGAAGACCGAAGUGGAGAAAGGUUUCACGCGAACAACACUUGGACGUGAGUGACUCGGUCCUAAGGUAUUCCGUAUGGGAUUCAGAAGGCGCGGCUCGUCUGCGCCGUCGGCCGAAAGGGCAACCGGUUUAAAUUCCGGUAGUGCGGACACGGUGUUGAGCGGCGACGCGUUCAAACCCGCUGACGGCGGCCCGGGCUCCGGGAAGAGUUCUCUUUUCUUUUUAACACGUGCGUCGGCCCCGAAAUGCCCUUAUGGCUCGAUCGGGCGGACCGCGUGGCAAAGCGGCUGACUUCCUCAGCCGUCCGGUGCGCUCGGGACGCUCCUUGAAAAGGCGGGGGCGUAACUUGCACCCAGUCCCAGCCGUACUCAUAACCGCAACAGGUCUCCAAGGUUAAAAGCCUCUGGUCAAUAGAACAAUGUAGGUAAGGGAAGUCGGCAAAUUGGUUCCGUAAGUUCGCGAUAUGGAAUGGCUCGUCAGACUGGGCGGUAGAGGCUCGGUCCACGAAGCGUGCUAGCCAUCAGGACUAGCUAGGCUGGCUUCGGCUGCGCCCGGCUGGGCCUGCGCGGUAGGCGCGUGGAGGGAUCGAGACAGCGCCGGGGCUUCGCGCACCGGUCGCGUUCUCGCCGCGACUAGCAGUCAGUGACGAACUCGUAGUGACCACAGGAACCCGACUGUUUAAUUAAAACAAAGCAUUGCGAUGGUCGCAAGUCGAUGUUGACGCAAUGUGAUUUCUGCCCAGUGCUCUGAAUGUCAACGUGAUGUAAUUCAAUCAAGCGCGGGUAAACGGCGGGAGUAACUAUGACUCUCUUAAGGUAGCCAAAUGCCUCGUCAUCUAAUUAGUGACGCGCAUGAAUGGAUCAACGAGGUUCCUACUGUCCCUAUCUACUAUCUAGCGAAACCACAGCCAAGGG
rnacentral:rRNA from 1 species